rnacentral:rRNA from 1 species
UUCCGUAGGCUAACCUGCGGAGGGAUCAUUACUGAGUGAGGGCCUUCGGGCUCGACCUCCAACCCUUUGUGAACACAACUUGUUGCUUCGGGGGCGACCCUGCCGUUUCGACGGCGAGCGCCCCCGGAGGCCUUCAAACACUGCAUCUUUGCGUCGGAGUUUAAGUAAAUUAAACAAAACUUUCAACAACGGAUCUCUUGGUUCUGGCAUCGAUGAAGAACGCAGCGAAAUGCGAUAAGUAAUGUGAAUUGCAGAAUUCAGUGAAUCAUCGAAUCUUUGAACGCACAUUGCGCCCCUUGGUAUUCCGAGGGGCAUGCCUGUUCGAGCGUCAUUUCACCACUCAAGCCUCGCUUGGUAUUGGGCGCCGCGGUGUUCCGCGCGCCUCAAAGUCUCCGGCUGAGCUGUCCGUCUCUAAGCGUUGUGAUUUCAUUAAUCGCUUCGGAGCGCGGGCGGUCGCGGCCGUUAAAUCUUUCACAAGGUUGACCUCGGAUCAGGUAGGGAUACCCGCUGAACUUAAGCAUAUCAAUAGGGCGGAGGAA